UACGUAGGGCGCAAGCGUUUAUCCGGAAUUAUUGGGCGUAAAGAGCUCGUAGGCGGUUUGUCGCGUCUGCCGUGAAAACCUGGGGCUCAACCCCGGGCCUGCAGCCGAUACGGGCAAGCUAGAAUUCGGUAGGGGAGACUGGAAUUCCUGGUGUAGCGGUGAAAUGCGCAGAUAUCAGGAGGAACACCGGUGGCGAAGGCGGGUCUCUGGGCCGAUAUUGACGCUGAGGAGCGAAAGCGUGGGGAGCGAACAGG
rnacentral:rRNA from 1 species